GAAGACCUAGCCGCCGCCUCCCGUGCCACUCGCCUCCCCCUCCUCUCUCUCUCUCUCUCCCCAUCGCGCCGGCCGCUUCCGGCCAGCUCCGGCCCGCGCGUCUCCCCCGCGACCCCCACCUCCUCUCCUGCCGCUGCCGCCGCCGGAGAAGCUCGCCGCCAAUGCCCGUGACCUAGCCCACACGUCUACCCCGCGACCCCCGCCUUCUCUCCUGCCAUCGCCGCCGCCGCCGCCAUCGGAGAAGCUCGCCUCCGCGCCCACAAGCCUCGGAUCCGGCGGGAUCCGGGACGAGGAGGGGUGGAUGAGACGGGGGAGGAGGAGGAGGAGAGUGUGGGGGCGUCUGGGAAGGAAUAUCCCCGCCGCCUCCUCCGCUCCUGACGCAGGGCCUUGAGCCAUGGGGGCGUUCGUUGCAGGAACCUCGCCGCUGGCCUCCCGUGCGCGGCGCCCGGCCCUGGUAGCGCUGACCUCGCCGAUGGCCUCUUGUGCGCUACCUCUUCUUCCCCGACGAUGCCUGCCCGCGCAUCUCGCCCGCCACCUCCAGCUACUCGCCGGCUUCGCCACCCGCGCCGCUGCCUGUCUUGCAACGAGCGCCGGAGCAGCCUACGGACAAGAGUGGUGUUCAAGACAACAUGCGCAACUUGGGAACCGCUGGGUGAAACUGCAAGUUGUUGUCUCUACCAAUUAGCCUUACCAAGCCGGGCUCCUUCUAUCUCGUGUUAGAGCUUGGUAACGACGGCCACACAAUGACAAGUAUGUGGUUGAUGGAGGAAGCACGGGGAGGAGCAAAAACAAAUGGUGAUGGAGGAGGAAAAACAAACGGCUAUCUCCAUGUACAAGGGGCUCAUUGGUCGCUUGGCCUGCUUUUGAUAUCAAUGAUGAUAUCCCUGACAUAAAUUCGUUUAGUGACAGUCUUGGAGAGAAAUUUACUACUGUCGAUGCACACACUCAUUCGGGGUAGAAUCUGAUCUCGAGUGCUGAUUGUUUCUCGAUUUCACGCCACUUCUUCUCCACCGCCCCCUUGCUCAGGCAUCAACAGCUUGUUGCCAUGGUUUGAAUCACACAUGUUCAGUUGAAUGGAUAUCUAAGAGGACCAAGGUGAUGUUGUUGUGAGAUAUUUGCAAAGGGAGUGGUUGUUGCUCUGAGAUGAGGAGGGCAUACGUGCGGGUAUUUAGGAAGAAAUCAAACCUAAAAAAGUAUCCUAGAAAUUUACACCUCUCUCAUUUCAGUUGUUCUUUGAAGACGUCCUUGCAUAUUAUGCUUUUUAUUUAACUUUGUUUCUGAUGGAAAAAUAUUAUUUAUUAUAUUGUAGAAGAUGAGGAUAACCAUCUCAUUUUUGUUUCGUUAGAAUAUGGCACUAGCUCUUUACCUACACCACUUCUUCUAUGUAUUCUUUGCUAAAAUUUGCCUCUUCUGGACAGAAAUUAUCAUUUAUCACCAUUAACAGCUUGCUCAACCAGGCUGUGGCUAUUCCUAUUGGGCCUGAAAAUUCACAUCGCCAAAAGAAUAAUAAAAUUUGAUAAGAGAACAGUCUCUUAAUAAGUAAAUAAGACACAAAUACAUUGUCUAACAUUUUGAUGGAACGAACCUGCUGCAAGAGGCAAUAAAAGUGACCAUGCUUAAUUUUAUUAAUUAAUUGAUAGGAUGAAAUACAAAGUAGUAAGAUAAGUGUCGGCGUUCACCUAAUUUGAUUUUUACCUAUUGAAUGGGCAGUUUGUGACGUACUGUCAACUCGGUACAUUCAGCGUAUGUGUUCAGGUUCUUUGACACGCUUGGGAUCGACGGAUCGUUCAUGCCAUGGUUGGAUUUGAAUGGGGGCAACCGUUUGAAAUCUAAUUCAGAAGAUACACAACCUAAGAUCGAAAUAUUCCUACCUGAACCAAAGGGUUGUACGCCUACCAUUAUUAUCUUCUCCUAUGCUAUUUAUGUUCUUCAUAUCCCCAAUAAUUUAUUCAGUCUUACUUUUGACAUAAAACACAAGUUGACUUUGAACCCCUUCUCCACUAAGACUGCGUUUUUGUUGUUGAACCGAGAUUUGCUAAGCUUGGCAGAGAGGAUAGCUGUUUUUUUUUUGCAGAGAACUAGGCUCUAAAAGAUUCAGUAGUUACAUGUGGUUUCAUAUCUGCAGUUUGUUUGCAUGUAUUUUUUGAGGUUUUUGAUGAUCUGAAUUAUGAAAUUUUCUUGGUUAAAAUCUUUAUAUUUGGCAUGAUCUCUGCAAACAAAAUAGAGUGACGAUAGUGCAGCUAAUUCCAUUUUUUCGUGCAUGAUAUAUUUUGAUCUCUAAUGGAUAUGAAUGGCUUGAUGUUUCUAUUCAAUUUUUUUUUUCAUGUAUCUUCCAUUUAGGCAUACAGGAUGACCAACAUUUCAUAUUUGUGUCAUGUAUCUUCCAUUUAGUUGGAAACUAAUAACCAAGGGGAGUAUUUUUUUACAGUUGCAGGACAACCUACAAAUAUUGACCGAUAAAUUAUCCAUCAUAUGUAUCUUUCAUCCCACCACCCCCGCGUCAUCCUCUCCCUCGUGCUAAUUUGUUGCCGGACCGUGCAGACAACAUAGCAAUGACCAUUUGUCGGGUUGUUGUUGCCUUUGGGUUGCUCACUGUAUCGACUGUCUUGUGAUUCCCCACCUGCUUGCCCUGCAUAUUUUCCAUUUGAUGAAAUGUAUACUAGCUAACUCCAUGUUCUUCUAUCAUUUUAUUUUACUUUGCAGGUUCUACUGUUUAUGACGUGCUUCUUGUUGAUCAUCUGCUACUUUGGCACGUCAAGGGCCAAUGCUGGUGUCAGGACCACUGUGAUCACAAACAAAGCCAAGUAGCUGCUGCUCUGCUCUCUACUGAAGAAGCAUUUGUAGGUUAUUCUAUGCAUAAGACUGCGCUUUUAUGUGUCGUUUCCUUCAAGUUGACAUUGCAACAGAAGAUGAAGUGUAUCUUCGUGAUCAGUAGAUCACUGCGUGAUGCCGCAUGUCGUAGUUCUAUCGCUACGUGGACAUGUGCAAGAAAUGCAAGUAAGCAGCCUUGUUCAGAAGUGCUUUAUCAAGUUCCUGUAAACUUGAAGUUUUCUAGAUAUACAUGUUGUUUCCAGGUUUUCUCGGCUUCCCUAAUCCCAAAGGUAAUAAUAUGAUUUCUUUGUGUUGUUUGCCCAAAUUCAGAAGUGAACUUUUGUUGUAUAUUUGCCUGCUGUGUGUCCUGUAAAUUCUAAGCUUUCUAGGCGUACAUGUACAUGUGUAUUUGUUAGGUACUAAUAUGAUUUCUUUAUGUUGUUUGCCAAGAUUCAGAAGUGAACUUUUGUUGUAUAAUUGCUUGCAGUGUGUCUUGUAAACUCUACGCUUUCUAGGUGUACGUGUGCAUGUGUAUUUGUUAGGUAAUAAUAUGAUUUCUUCAUGUUGUUUGCCCAAAUUCAGAAGUGAACUUUGCUGUAUAUUUGCUCGCUGUAGUUUCAGUCAAUCAUAAGUCAUAACAAGAUGAAUUUCAUGACCUAUAAUCUCCAAAUGAUCUUCACAUGAUGUAAUCGAAUGACUACUUAUAUCUUACCUUCGGACUUUUAUUCAAUCUUGGUAUAUUUACAAUCUCCAAUUUCAUUAGUCAUUUCAGACCAAAAGCAAUGGUUUAUCAUGUUCUUCCCGAUUUAGUAGUACAUCAGGUUAAUACUUUCUUUGUAGAUAAUAAAGUUCUUCCAGGUGAAUCUGUGUGUUAUAUGCGCUCAUGCUUGCCCAUGCUAAAUUCUCUCCUCUCGGUAAAACUAUGAUUGCUUUAUUCUUAGAUAUCUUGGUUAGCAUCACACCUACUUUCAGAAUUCACGGUGCAUGAUGGAUGCAAGUUUUUUUUUCAUGUAUUCACUGUGUAUUCAUGAAUACCUUGCUACUUGAAUAUUCACUGUGUACUCCGGCACUUGGUGAAUAUUCCACUGCACACCUUCCUUCAAAUCCAGAGAGAACAUUUAUCAUGACCACCACACAUGUUCUUGGCUUGCCUUGGGCUGUUCUGCUGAUGGACAUUAAUCUGAUUAACUUGUACUUGCAGGGAAGAUAGACCCAUACAUGGCCGUGCAGUACCGGGGCCAGGAGCACAAGGGAGGCACCGCCCGAGUUCCACAGGAAAUUUCUUGCCAUUGGCACCAUUAUGACCAUUAUUUCCUAUGCAAGCACACAAUUGAAAAGUUUGUUUGGAUAGUUAAUUUAGUUCUUUGUGUUGGAUCCACAUCUCACGUGUACCAUCCUCGGACGUGAUGCACGCCGCCAGGUCCGCGCCGACAUCGUGCUCACGAAGCCUGGCCUUUGUGUUGUGUUCUCCAUCUUGCAACGCAUGAUGAACUACACGGUAGAGUUCAGCCGAGGAAGAAUCAGGUGAUUCUGGAUUGUUGUGUAAUUGUUUAUAUUCCUAACUGAGAUGGGAUUACAGUUUAUUUGCUUGAUUAUUUGUCAUGUUUACUUAGAUAAUCCAUUGAUGGUUGAUCUGGUUAAGUACAUAUGCUACCCCUUGUUUGUUUAUAUUGCUAGCUGAGAUGGGAUUACAGUUUAUUUGCUUGAUUAUUGGCCGCAUUUACUUAGAUAAUUCAUUGAUGGUUGAUCUUGUUAGCUACAGAUGCUACCCCUUGUUCUGAACAAGCUUUAAUUUUGGUGGACUAAUCCCAGUUUGACAUAGUUGCUGGUCAUCAACAAAAAGCCGACCACAUAAUCCUGUAUUUUAUUUCUGUGUCGUUUCAAAAUUUCUGCUCUACAUAGAAUCUUAAGAAGUUAGGGUAUGCACACAGGUCCUAAUAAUAAUGAGCUGUUUAGUGCAAUGCAUGUGGCCUGAUUACUUCUUUUCUUUCCUUUUUUUAUGUUGUACGUUCUUGGAGGUCGCCUUUUCUUUCUUCUGUUGAUCAAGUUUUCUUCUUCUUUCUUCUGCUUAUCAGGGUUUCUUCCUUUCCUUUUUUCUGGAAAUUGCAUUUAUUAUGUGACCUAUGUAUUUUCAUUAUUCUUGCUUCAUUGGUCGUGUUGAUAUUCUGGGUUUGGCCCGACAUUUUGUUUUCUUUUGCCUCAUGCCAUUCAUAUUUUGUGGUUGCAUGUGGACAUGAUUUGCGUGCUUAUUUCAAUUGUUAGCCGUGUAUCAUGGUGUGCCUUGCCUGCUUUUUCAUGCUUGUGUGAAUUGACCAUGGUCUGUUCUUGUUGGGGUAAAGCCUGAACUGCCGGGUACACUUUGGUCAUUGUCCUUAUUCUGGUUCUCCUUGGCAUCUUUCUAUCACUGGAGAUCCUUGUUUUCAAAUAGCAGGGAUAGAGGGACAGAAAAGAUAUAUUUGUCAUGGCGCUGCAAGUGUUGCCCCCCUCCUCCCCAAGGGCAAGGUGAAGGAAGGUGCCUGUGUGGUUCUUCUGCAGUUCGCAACGAGGAUUGUUGUGUCCAACCUGCACAAGAAUGCCAAGAAGUCCUUCUCGGAGACGAUUAAGGACAUGUACCUGCUACAAGGAGAGAUCUGGGCUGCUUCUUUGUGGCUUCCAAACUUGAAAUGUUUGUUUGGAAGUUAGUUUAGUUUUUUGUUGUGGAUUCAUAGCUUCUCACAUGUACCAUCCUCUUAGACCUUUAGAUUUCCAAAGAAACUAAAUGAAGAUAUGGUGGUAUGGUCUCAAUAAUACAAUUUAAAGCCUUCCAUGCUUUAUAUUUUCUUUGAAAUUUGCUCUUGAAGAAUCAUGUAUCUACGUUUGAUUUGGUGAGAAAAGGCGGCUUUCAAGCA